rnacentral:lncRNA from 1 species
AUCAUCACCGUCAUUCCGUUCCUCCGCCUCGGUCUCUCCGGUUUUGUCCCUUCCUCCUGCCGCCUGAUAAAAAGAGGAGCGACGCAGCAUCAACGACACAGUGGAAGGAUCGAAGGUUGGUAGAUGGAGAAGCUGGCGUUAUCAUGUGAGUUCUCUACAUGCUCUUUCAUGAGUUUUCUAGAUGAAACGAGUUGCUUUUAACUAAUCAUGCAUAUAUUAUUGUCUCAGUUCUCUCUCUGUGGAUAAAGGCUUGUAAAGGUAAAUAAAGGAAAGAUAUGGCCAUGGAAAGGAAGUCCCUACAAAUGUUUCAGAUAGGUUUAUUGACUUCAUCCCAAGAAUAUUACCAGGAUAAUUUUUUUUAUAUAGAAAAUUGUAGUGCAAUUGGAUUGUGAUUUAGUAUAUGCUAAUUUUGAGCAGGA